rnacentral:misc_RNA from 1 species
UACGUAGGGGACAAGCGUUGUCCGGAUUUAUUGGGCGUAAAGAGAGCGUAGGCGGUCUUUUAAGUCUGAUGUGAAAGCCCUCGGCUCAACCGUGGAGGGUCAUUGGAAACUGGAAGACUUGAAUGCAGAAGAGGAAAGUGGAAUUCCAUGUGUAGCGGUGAAAUGCGUAGAUAUAUGGAGGAACACCAGUGGCGAAGGCGACUUUCUGGUCUGUAACUGACGCUGAGGCGCGAAAGCGUCGGGAGCAAACAGG